rnacentral:lncRNA from 1 species
CUAAAUCUUAUUCAAGUUCGUUCUUCUCCUAAUGGAGAAAUCCAUUAUCUUUUGAUGCUUCUUUCCUUGAUAUUAUUCAAGGAAACUGUUCUCAAGUGUUAUCUUUCCUUGGAUCAAAUCUAAGGAGGCAAAUACUUUAGACGUCUUACUUAUCAACUUACAUUUCUUGAAUUCUUUGAAACCUUUUGCAAAGUAUUCGGACUUGUGUUUAUUCAAAAUAAACUAUAGUCCAACCGAGAGUGAUCUUCGGUGCAUGUCAUACAACAUGAGUAGUAUUAUGUUGUGGACAAGUGCCACUAACAUCUAAGUGAAUUAACCUCAACAACUUUGUGAUUCUUUCUUCUUUCCAAAAGAAUAAAGAUUCGAACAUUUUGCCUCUAUACAAUUUUAAUAAGAAGGUGUUGGAUCCGGAUCUAACGAUCCAAAGCAUCCAUCUAUGACCAACUCGUAUUUUAUGUUUUUGAGGUAUCACAACUCAGUUGGGAUUAGUCACUACCUUGCAACCUUUUGGGUUUUAAGCAUCGUUAUAUUCUAAACAGUUAACACUACCAUAUCAUCUCUACUAUAGACAAUCAAUUAGAUUACAAUAAUCUAAUCAUUGAUUAAUAAAGA